rnacentral:rRNA from 1 species
GAUGAACGCUAGCUACAGGCUUAACACAUGCAAGUCGCGGGGCAGCAUGGGGGUUGCUUGCAACCCCUGAUGGCGACCGGCGCACGGGUGAGUAACGCGUAUCCAACCUGCCCUUCACCACGGGAUAACCCGGCGAAAGUCGGACUAAUACCGUAUGUUGUCCAUUGACGGCAUCCGAUUUGGACGAAAGGCUUAGCGGUGAGGGAUGGGGAUGCGUCCGAUUAGCUUGACGGCGGGGUAACGGCCCACCGUGGCAACGAUCGGUAGGGGUUCUGAGAGGAAGGUCCCCCACACUGGAACUGAGACACGGUCCAGACUCCUACGGGAGGCAGCAGUGAGGAAUAUUGGUCAAUGGGCGGAAGCCUGAACCAGCCAAGUAGCGUGCAGGAUGACGGCCCUAUGGGUUGUAAACUGCUUUUAUGCGGGGAUAAAGGGACCCACGUGUGGGUUUUUGCAGGUAC